rnacentral:rRNA from 1 species
GACGAACGCUGGCGGCGUGCUUAACACAUGCAAGUCGAACGGAAAGGCCCUGCUUUUGUGGGGUGCUCGAGUGGCGAACGGGUGAGUAACACGUGAGUAACCUGCCCUUGACUUUGGGAUAACUUCAGGAAACUGGGGCUAAUACCGGAUAGGAGCUCCUGCUGCCUGGUGGGGGUUGGAAAGUUUCGGCGGUUGGGGAUGGACUCGCGGCUUAUCAGCUUGUUGGUGGGGUAGUGGCUUACCAAGGCUGUGACGGGUAGCCGGCCUGAGAGGGUGACCGGCCACAUUGGGACUGAGAUACGGCCCAGACUCCUACGGGAGGCAGCAGUGGGGAAUAUUGCACAAUGGGCGGAAGCCUGAUGCAGCAACGCCGCGUGCGGGAUGACGGCCUUCGGGUUGUAAACCGCUUUCGCCUGUGACGAAGCGUGAGUGACGGUAAUGGGUAAAGAAGCACCGGCUAACUACGUG